GCCACUUGCCAAAUGCUGCCACCUGUGACAAUUGCUUUUAAGCGUAAGCCGCUUAGCCGAGCGCUCUCUGUACGCGCUUGUAUUUGUUGGAGAAUAAAGUUAGCGAAUUUUCGAGAGCUGGCCAUUAACGUGUGUCGUAAACAGGUAGUCGUCCGGAAUAUACAAGACGAUGUUAGUUGUUGGUGUGUAUGAGAGGAAGGCGUGGUAGGGGCGGGUCUGCAGGCCAGGAAGCAGACUCGUCAGUCACACAGGGUCUGCUACACUGGGAAUCUGCGUAUUACUGGAACAGCGCUUAUCAGCCAGUAUUCUUAAUGCAACAGUGUGAAUGUUCUCGCCUUGUUGUGCUAGCAGGGUCGUACUUCUGCUCCUAGUCUCGUCUUUCGAGAGAGUUCACCAGCAGACUGCCACAAAUAUGGAACUGUCGCCUAACGAUGAUGAUGUCACCAUUCCCAUUCUCUGAUGUCUAAUAUGAGCAUGAAGGAGCAAGAAAUCAAGAAUGUAGUGCUGAUGGACAAGUAUUUUAUAAACAAAAAAUUGGACUGUCUUGCAACUAUUUCUGAAACAUUUAUUAGAAAAUCAAAAUUGCAAUUAAAGACAAAAUUCCUAAGUUUUAUAAAUUUCUUUAUUCACAAUAUUAAUCUUUUUAAUAUACACUAUACUUGAAAGCAGUAAUUGUAGGCACGGAGUGAAAGUACAACAGCAAUGGAGCUUUCAAUAAAGGUUAGGUAAAGGAAAGAAGUGAUGAUCACUAAAAACAUGUUACUGUCAGAUCAAAUUUACCGAGACCAUUCAAACUGUAAAUUAAUUUAUCAGAGUUGGCCAUAGAGCAGCAUUCACAAAAGUAUACAUGUAAAUAUUUGUUAUUUAAUAGAGCAAAGUGUAUUUCAUUUACAAAGGAAGAGAAAUCAGAAGUGUAUCGUGUUCAUAAACGUUCUGACACCCUACAUACUACAUUCGUACAAUAGCAGUCUGGGUUAUCUACAUGCUGCAGCCUCCAAUUACUGAUAAAAGAUCUUUAUAGCCAAAUAUAGAAUAAUAAAUUUACAUGACCAAAUAUCUGAUCAAUAUAAAGUUACACUCCACAAGAUAUGAAAUUACCAGUAGCUUUAUAUUCAAAACAAUUCAUCUUCACUUUGUAUUUCAACAAAUUUGUAACCACACUUUUAAAAAUUAAUUAUUAUAAUAAAUUUAUUACUGAA